rnacentral:rRNA from 1 species
UACGUAGGGGGCAAGCGUUGUCCGGAUUUAUUGGGCGUAAAGAGCGUGUAGGCGGCUUGGUAGGUCCGCUGUGAAAACUCGAGGCUCAACCUCGAGAUGUCGGCGGAAACCACUUGGCUAGAGUCCGGAAGAGGAGAGUGGAAUUCCUGGUGUAGCGGUGAAAUGCGCAGAUAUCAGGAAGAACGCCUAUGGCGAAGGCAGCUCCCUGGGACGGUACUGACGCUGAGACGCGAAAGCGUGGGGAGCGAACAGG